rnacentral:lncRNA from 1 species
UCCGAUUCCGCGAGCAGAGGUUCCGCGAGGGAGCGAUGGGUUCCGCGAGGAUGGGUUCCGAUUGCGCGAGGAUGGAGCAUGGGUUCAUUCCAGAACCGAUUCCGCGAGCAGAGGAUGGAGCAUGGGUUCCGCGAGGGAGCGAUGGGUUCCGAUUCCGCGAGCAGAGGUUCCGCGAGGGAGCGAGGAUGGAGCAUGGGUUCCGAUUGCGACACUACCCGUCCUCGAGCAGAGGUUCCGAUUGCGCGAGGAUGGGUUCCGAUUGCGCGAGGAUGGAGCAUGGGUUCAUUCCAGAACCGAUU